GACUGGGAUCAUCCUGAAGCUGGGAUAGGAUUCUACAAAUCGACUAAGGACACGUGAACUAUGAAUAUUGCCUUUGUUAUUUACCUUCUUGCCAGACAUUAGUUGAUGAGUUGUGAACAUAUAAGGGGGCUCUCACAGAAUGAGCUUUCAGUCAAGAUAUAGACCACUUCCAUAGAAAUGUCCACUGACCUUUCAUCAUUAAUCUUCUACUCCUACCACCGGCUCCAGAUGACCACUGAUCUCCUUUUUAUCAUCACUACAGGGAGAAGAGCUGGCUUAGACAGAUGUAGAACCGCCCAGUCUACUUAAGGCAUACCAACUGAAUAGCUUAGUCCAAAACAUCAGUUCUAUAGAUUAAAAACUUGAAAAAGGCCACAUGCAUUCUGACAUUUUUUUCCCCAAUGAAGAAACUAAGAUGGAAAAGGAAAAGUUUGUUCCUAAGUCUGUAGUUCUAAUCCUCAACAACCAAGGAGUUAUGGUGUGUGGGGUUGGGGUUCUCUUAAAAUAAAAAUUAAAUAAACGAAGGGUUUUGUAGGGUACUUAAAAGAAAUGCAGGAUUCUGCUUGAUGUUUGUUAACUUUUUUAUUUUGAAAUAAUUAUACUCAUAGGAAGUUGUCCUUCACGCAGUC
ensembl:lncRNA